rnacentral:rRNA from 1 species
UACGUAGGGGGGCGAGCGUUUGUCCCGGAAUUAUUGGGCGUAAAGAGCGUGUAGGCGGUCCGGUAAGUCCGCUGUGAAAGUCGGGGGGCUCAACCCUCGAAUGCCGGUGGAUACUGUCGGGCUAGAGUGCGGAAGAGGCGAGUGGAAUUCCUGGUGUAGCGGUGAAAUGCGCAGAUAUCAGGAGGAACACCUAUUGCGAAGGCAGCUCGCUGGGACGUAACUGACGCUGAGACGCGAAAAGCGUGGGGGAGCAAACAGG